AACGAACGCUGGCGGCAUGCCUAACACAUGCAAGUCGAACGAGACCUUUGGGUCUAGUGGCGCACGGGUGCGUAACGCGUGGGAAUCUGCCCUUGGGUUCGGAAUAACAGUGAGAAAUUGCUGCUAAUACCGGAUGAUGUCUUCGGACCAAAGAUUUAUCGCCCAGGGAUGAGCCCGCGUAGGAUUAGCUAGUUGGUGGGGUAAUGGCCUACCAAGGCGACGAUCCUUAGCUGGUCUGAGAGGAUGAUCAGCCACACUGGGACUGAGACACGGCCCAGACUCCUACGGGAGGCAGCAGUGGGGAAUAUUGGACAAUGGGCGCAAGCCUGAUCCAGCAAUGCCGCGUGAGUGAUGAAGGCCUUAGGGUUGUAAAGCUCUUUUACCAGGGAUGAUAAUGACAGUACCUGGAGAAUAAGCUCCGGCGAACUCCGU
rnacentral:rRNA from 1 species